rnacentral:tRNA from 1 species
GUCAGGAUGGCCGAGUGGUCUAAGGCGCCAGACUCAAGUUCUGGUCCUCGAACGAGGGCGUGGGUUCAAAUCCCACUUCUGACA